GCGCCCGUAGCUCAGUGGAUAGAGUAUUGGCCUCCGAAGCCAAGGGUCACUGGUUCGAUUCCAGUCGGGCGCG
rnacentral:tRNA from 1 species